GGCCGCCUGGCGAAAUGGCAUCGCGUCUGACUACGAGCGUUUAUGAUCAGGAGAUUGCAGGUUCGAGCUCUGCGGUGGUCA